GGCAGUGUGGCCGAGUGGUUAUGGCGCUGCGUUCAGGUCGACCCUGAAUACCAACUUCGCAGUGGAGCAAUCCGCGUGGGUUCGAGUCCCACCGCUGUCA